CGGUUGAUCCUCCCGGAGAUCACUGCUAUUGGAAUUCGGCUAAGGCAUGCGAGUCGAGAGGGUUCGGCCCUCGGCGGACGGCUCAGUAACCCGCAGACAAUCUGCCCUUAGGCGGGGUAUAAUCUCGAGAAAUUGAGAAUAAUACCCCAUAGUUCUAGAUUGCUGGAAUGCAUCUAGAACAAAAGCUCUGGCGCCUAAGGAUGAGUCUGCGGCCCAUCAGGUUGUAGUGAGUGUAACGGACUCACUAGCCUACGACGGGUACGGGUCCUGGAAGGGAGUGCCCGGAGAUGGACUCUGAGACACGAGUCCAGGCCCUACGGGGCGCAGCAGCCACGAAAACUUCGCAAUGCGGGAAACCGCGACGAGGGAAUUCCAAGUGCUAAUACUUUGUAUUAGCUGUUUCCUUGCCUAAAAAGCAGGAAGAGUAAGGGCUGGGUAAGACUGGUGCCAGCCGCCGCGGUAAUACCAGCAGCCCGAGUGGUGAUCGCUUUUAUUGGGCCUAAAGCGUCCGUAGCCGGUCUAGUAAAUCCUUGGGUAAAUCGGACAGCUUAACUGUCCGAAUUCUGAGGAGACUGCUAGACUUGGGACCGGGUGAGGUCAGAGGUACUCUUGGGGUAGGGGUGAAAUCCUGUAAUCCUAAGAGGACCACCAGUGGCGAAGGCGUCUGACUUAAACGGGUCCAACGGUAAGGGACGAAGCCCUGGGUCACGAACCGGAUUAGGUACCCGGGCAGUCCAGGGUGUAAACGCUGCGGGCUUGGUGUUGGGGGUCCUACGAGGGCACCCAGUGCCGGAGAGAAGUUGUUAAGCCCGCCGCCUGGGGAGUACGGUCGCAAGAUUGAAACUUAAAGGAAUUGGCGGGGGAGCAC
rnacentral:rRNA from 1 species